rnacentral:rRNA from 1 species
GACGAACGCUGGCGGCGCGCCGUAACGACAUGCAAGUCGAACGGAGCUAUUUUGAUAGAGUCCCUUCGGGGUGACGAUUGGCUUAGCUUAGUGGCGAACGGGUGAGUAACACGUGAGGAACCUGCCCUUCAGAGGGGGACAACAGUUGGAAACGACUGCUAAUACCGCAUGAUGCAUGAUCAGGGCAUCCUGGACAUGCCAAAGAUUUAUCGCUGAAAGAUGGCCUCGCGUCUGAUUAGCUAGUUGGUGAGGUAACGGCCCACCAAGGCGACGAUCAGUAGCCGACCUGAGAGGGUGAUCGGCCACAUUGGGACUGAGACACGGCCCAA